CGAUGUGCAAAUUCCCGUGAUUGACCUCCACAGUCUUUUUUCUGGCCUGCCGCAGGAUGACUCGCUGCGCCAAGAAACCUUGGACAGCAUAGCCACUGCGUGUCGCGAGUGGGGCUUCUUCCAGGUGGUUAACCAUGGGGUUAGCCAUGAGCUCAUGGCCCGCACUCGGGAGGUGUGGCGCGAAUUCUUUCACCUUCCCUUGGAGGAGAAGCAGCAAUAUGCUAAUUCCCCGAGCACCUAUGAAGGUUACGGCAGCCGGCUCGGGGUGGAGAAAGGAGCAAAGUUGGAUUGGAGUGACUACUUCUUUCUUCAUUACCUUCCUACUUCCCUGAGGGACCAAA
rnacentral:lncRNA from 1 species